rnacentral:rRNA from 1 species
UGGGGAAUUUUGGACAAUGGGCGAAAGCCUGAUCCAGCAAUGCCGCGUGUGUGAAGAAGGCCUUCGGGUUGUAAAGCACUUUUUGUCCGGAAAGAAAUCCUUGGCUCUAAUACAGUCGGGGGAUGACGGUACCGGAAGAAUAAGCACCGGCUAACUACGUGCCAGCAGCCGCGGUAAUACGUAGGGUGCAAGCGUUAAUCGGAAUUACUGGGCGUAAAGCGUGCGCAGGCGGUUUGCUAAGACCGAUGUGAAAAUCCCCGGCGUCAACCUAGGGCACUGGCAUGUGAUGCUGGCAGGCUAGAGUAUGGCAGAGGGGGUGAAAUAUCCACGUGUGAGCAGUGAAAAUGCGUAGAGAUGUGGAGGAAUACCGAUGGCGAAGGCAG